GGUCCCUUAGAUCAGUUGGUUAGAUCGUGGUGCUAAUAACGCCAAGGUGAGUCACUCCCUGGAUGCUCAGUCGAUUCUGCAAAAAUGAGGUUGCUAACGGUGUAUCAAGGUCGCGAGUUCGAACCUCGUAGGGACCA